GGCUGCUUGAAUGUCCUCGUCGGAGUCUCGAACCUCAAUUAUUUCAGACCCAAAAUGCUUCUGAAUUUUGUCCAUUCGCAUAAUUUCCUCUUCACCACACAGCAAGUUAAACACAGCUCCCUUGCGCCCAAAACGACCUGCUCGACCAAUUCUAUGAAGGUACACCUCAUAGUUAGGAUCAGCCGAUGAGGAAAAUCUGUAUUUUGUCGUUUGUGAAGAAGAUUCAUAUUUAAGAGGAAGAUCAUAAUUGAUAACUAGGUUGACCUGUUGCUGAUCAAAGCCUCGAGCUAGAAGGUCAGUCGAAAUAAGAACUUUGGUCAAACCGUCCUUGAACUCUUUUAUUAUUUUGUCUCUAAUUUCAUUGGUCAUUGCCCCUUGAAUGGUAGUCACAUCAUAACCAAGAUCAACUAGUGCCUUAUGUAACAUGCCAGCACUGUUUCUUGUGCGCACAAAUAUAAUUGUCUGACCCAAUUUGUCUGCAAGUUCGAAAAUUCUAUCUUUUAUGACCCGAAUUUUAGUUAAUUCAUCUGGACAUAUCAACUUGAAUUGCUU
rnacentral:misc_RNA from 1 species